AACGAUUUUUCUGCAUAAUGGUAAAAACUAAUUGAUUUUACAAGUGAAGUGCUUUUGUUGUUUGGCUUUUGCAGAAAAAUAAUUUUUUUUACGAUUGCGGUCACCCUUUUCAGGCGAAGAGAAUCGAAAGCAAACAAACACGUCGCAACUUGAGAUGCCUUGGAAAAUCGUCAAACAUGUUGCAGUGACGGUCGAGCAUGUGCGCUGGAAAUGUCUACGCUUCCAGUCUCUUUCAGUUUACUCCCGCAGAGUUGCAUCUAAGAUGACAUAUGGAAAGCUGAAAUUAUAAACAAAAAUGUUGCCGGAUAAUUCGAAAUUCUAUUUCCAAGUCAUGGAAUUACACGAGGUAAUUGAAUUUGACGUGAUGACGGAUCAGGCGAUUAUAAAUGUUUGCAACCAAAUCCACGGGCUUUUUUGGUGUUAAUAAGCUCAAUUAAAAAUUUUGUAACUCAAUAUAAUUUUUCUCCGAUAAAUAUCCAUCCCAACUGUCAAGCAGACAAUGUACAAUAGAAACCCCUCAUAGGAUUACAAAUAAAUUUGUUAAGAACACAUAAAUUAAGCUUA